rnacentral:rRNA from 1 species
AGAACGAACGCUGGCGGCAUGCCUAACACAUGCAAGUCGAACGAGACCUUCGGGUCUAGUGGCGCACGGGUGCGUAACGCGUGGGAAUCUGCCCUUGGGUUCGGAAUAACAGUUGGAAACGACUGCUAAUACCGGAUGAUGACGUAAGUCCAAAGAUUUAUCGCCCAGGGAUGAGCCCGCGUAGGAUUAGCUAGUUGGUGAGGUAAAGGCUCACCAAGGCGACGAUCCUUAGCUGGUCUGAGAGGAUGAUCAGCCACA